AUCUUUAAAAUGUUUCUGUUUCUUUACUCCUGUGAGAAGUUUGUGUGGGGAAGAGUAAUCACUUCUAUUUAAGAGAAGAUACUUUACAGAAAGAAUUUAUUUCUAGGCUUUUGGCCACAGCCAAAAAUUGAUUAGUGCAUCAUGGGACUAUUUCAUGUUGCAGGCUAAAAAUUUCACAAGCAGGAAUGAUGAAUGAAAAUGCUGGAAUAUGAGGAAUUUGAUAUUGAAGGUUGUGUGUUGUCAUAAAUGUGGAUUUUCUAAAAUUAAUGGUUUGGUUUUGUGAAAAACACUAAAAUUCUGACAGGAAACCUUGCUUUCAUAUUUCCUCCUUUUGCAGACAGUGAGUUUGCAAGUGGUGUGUUCCAUUAUGUUAAUGGAUUAACAACAAGAACGUGGGACAUUCUUAGGACUGGUAAAAACCAGCUCAACAUGCUUCAGGCGCUGAAUGGACAUUCAGCUCUUGAAACAAUGAAUGCUGUUUAAACUUCUGCUUUCCUUGGCCAGUUCUGGAGUUGAAAUGUCUUUAACAAGAGGAACAAAUAUCUGACACCACUGCAGUGUAGUGUGUUUUCCUCUUUCAUUAACUGGCAGUGCAUAAAUGUUGGGGGAAAUGUAAAAUAAAGUUACAGAUAAUGUAGUUUUGUUGUCGGGUCUUGGGAAUUACUCACUGGUAGAGGCUACACGAAGGGCAAGAAUGUAUAACAGCUGUAGCAGCAUUAUAAUAUCCUACUGACAUUUCAGAAUUAUGGAAUGCUGCAUUUCACCUGAUGGCCAUGAAUAUCCUGCAUUUAUAUUUCUUUUUCUCCCUUUGUAACAUGAGAUUAAUAUCCAUCAUUUUAUUAACCCUUAAAUUCAAUUAUCAAGAGACACAGACCCUGAGCUUUAAGAUAUGGCUUUAAACUCUUUUCCUGUGAUGACACUGAUCAUGGAUGGAAACGAACUAAACCAGGUUUCCUUUUUCCCGUGGUGAGGAAUUCCCCCCGAUUCUGCCCCGAGAUAAUGUUUUCAUUCCCUGCAAUGAUGAAUGCUGUGUAGAAUGCUUCCAUCUCAAGCACAAAGAGAAAACAGAUGUGUUUACAUUGUCUCCAUGGAGACACAAAGACACAAGCUAAAUUCACACUAGCAUCGGGGAGAAGAUUCCUCCUCCUUUGUCUUCCAGAGAUGGAGAAUUGCAGGCAGAAUAUUUGAAGCAAAUGAGACAGAACUCUCUACAGACCAUUUUUCUCCCCUGCCUUUUCAGCAAAGGAUUCUUUGUGUGAUCCUUCAGCGAAGAUUCCGGAAUCCUGUAAUGGCUGUUUGUAGUGCCAAAUACCCAGCAGAGAAAAUGUUCAUAAAAGGUGCCUGAAACCAGAAUUAACAAGGCUUCUUCCUCAAAAAUUUGCCAUCAACAGCCAGGAAAUUGUUCUGAUUGAUCAGAGGAUGUAUACACCUUCUAUGUACACUCCUGGAUUUUUUGUCAAAGAUCUCCAGAUAGUCCCCUAAAUUUAGGUCUCUACUGGAUGGAAGAUAUCAGACUUCUGCAUGUGUGUCUAAAUUCUCUCUGCUGACUGAGCUAAUUGGCAUUUCAUUGAGCCAAAAAGUCACUUCUGUCACA